UCCCUCGGGGUGCCCGAGGAACGCUGCCGUACCUGUCCAGCCAAAAGGGGACAGCGUGCAUGGAAAGUUCCACUUUUGGUCAUGCUGUAGGACACCCUGACUUGGUUGUUACCAUGUAAAAAACUCAUCCCGUUAAGCCACUCAGUAGGACUUUCCAAAUACUGAGGCCCUCCCUCCACUGGUGUGACCCUUAGAAGCUUCUAAAACAAAAUCUCAACAAACAAACCCAAAAAAAGAUCGCUUGAAGUGAUGUAUAUUUGGAGGAAACAGCGCAGAACAGAGGGGACACAGGCAGUGCAGUUCCUCUUUAGACAGAAUUUCUUCUGUGGUUUCCAUACCAUGAGACUCCAGCCUGAAAAAUAGGAGAGCGAGAGUAGUUCAGCCUUUCUGGAUUCAGGGACUCCCUGCCAUGGAGAAGCUGCUGGAUACUGUAAUAACUCCGGGCCAGAUCUGCUUUAUAAAUAUGGUUACUGAUUUCUGUUAUGUAAUAUCAAUUUAACAUGUCACAAAUAAGAACUGAUGAGGAUUUCUGGAAGUCUUCAGUUUCUCCAGAUGUUUAAUGAAACCAACAGUCAAGUUGGGUUCGUGGCAGGAAACACUCUGGCUGGAUGUUCAGUGCUUGGUGUGCCCAUUUUCUGCCAGAGCAAUGUGGAACUGGAGGUGUUCUGCUCCCAUGGGAGAAGGCUGUAGGGCCUAGGAUGUAAAACUCCAUGAACUGACUGGAUUAAUGAAUUAAAGCUGUUUGCCUUGUGGUCAGACAAAAUUUACAUUGAAAACUAUCUUGGUGCAGCUGCUCAGUUUUUCUAAAAUUGUGAAUUGCCAAAAAAGGAACAGUAAUUCCUUGGGGAGCUCAGAGUUAAAUCCUUUUCUGUAACACGAUCCCGUGUAGUGGAGCUGUGAUGGAAGUCCAUUAUUACUGCUAGCUGUUCUUAGAGCCGAUCAAACUGAGAACUGAGAAGCCUUCUGUAGAUGAUCCUUGCUCUUUUACAAUUUCUGUGCCUUUGUAGUUCCACAACUACU